rnacentral:rRNA from 1 species
AUUGAACGCUGGCGGCAUGCUUUACACAUGCAAGUCGAACGGUAACAGGCCGCAAGGUGCUGACGAGUGGCGAACGGGUGAGUAAUGCAUCGGAACGUGCCCAGUCGUGGGGGAUAACUACUCGAAAGAGUAGCUAAUACCGCAUACGAUCUAUGGAUGAAAGCGGGGGACCGUAAGGCCUCGCGCGAUUGGAGCGGCCGAUGUCAGAUUAGUUAGUUGGUGGGGUAAAGGCUCACCAAGCCAACGAUCUGUAGCUGGUCUGAGAGGACGACCAGCCACGCUGGGACUGAGACACGGCCCAGACUCCUACGGGAGGCAGCAGUGGGGAAUUUUGGACAAUGGGCGCAAGCCUGAUCCAGCAAUGCCGCGUGCAGGAAGAAGGCCUUCGGGUUGUAAACUGCUUUUGUACGGAACGAAACGGCUCUGGUUAAUACCCGGGGCUAAUGACGGUACCGUAAGAAUAAGCACCGGCUAACUACGUG